AUAAAAGUGUUAUGAAUGGUAGUAAUCAUUUAAAUUAAAUUACGGUAUUAUAAUAGUUAGAAGUAUAAGAUUGGAUGACAUUGUUAUAUAAUAAAUCAUAAUAAUAGUAGUAGUGGUAAUAUAGUACCACAUAUGAUGAAUUUAGUAGUAAGUUAGAAAUUGUAGAAGCUAUUAAAGUUUUGGACGUGUAUGCAUGGAAUUAAUUAGAUUUAACUCAAAUUUUUAAAUUUUAAAAGGACCUAGAGUGGAGCACGUGGAGAGCAAUGUGAGUUAUCUUUCAAAAUUUAAAGAGAAGUCUUAUAGUGGAGGUUUGAACAAGAUAUGAGCUUGAAUAUUUAAAAUAAUCUAGUCUGGAAUUUUCGGUUGCCAUAGAUGAUUUAGUGGAGGAAGUUGAAAUGUUUACAUAAGUAAAUUUAGUCUAGAUACAUGAAAACAAAAUGAGAGAGUUCAUAGCUUCGGAAUCUUUCUUAACCGUAGUCAUGAUAUCAAGGUGAAGGAGUGCCAAGUAUUAUUCUUCCAUUCAGUUAUUUAAUUCAAAUUUUAAAAUUUGCCUUUAGUUAGAAGGGGUGUCAUGGGUAGGUUAAGUAAAUAAGGUAUGAUUAAAUCAAGCCUAUAAAUAGAGCCUAAGGUAUUUAUUUCUGCACACACGCUCAAAAGGCCAAAGUAUAGCUGUCAACCACACUAUCUCUCUCAGUCUCUCACCCUUAAUGCUCUAGCCAAAGUCACCAUAUCCAUUUCUGUUAUUCAUAUUCAUUAAAGAACUGAGCCAACAUUGACAUUUCAUUAUUUUCUUCUUGUCAUCUUUCACGCAACCAUAUAUUACCUUACACCACCUUUAGUUUCCAAAUCACUAUCAUAUUCUUAUAAUAUCUAUAGCCACACGCCAUCUUUUGUUAUUUCGCCAAAACACAUAAACCUCACCAUUGCUACCAUCUGUUCACCAAGUUAUAUAGAGUUACAAGCUUAAGGUUACGAUUAGUUAGUGUGGUCAUUUCUAAAGAUUAAGGAUUUACGAGUACCGAAAGAAUUGGAUCUACGCAAGUAAAAGGAAAUCAAGCUAUUUUCUCCACACUCGAGAUUAAGGUUCUAAAACUUAGAGAGUCGGUGGCAAGUGAGACCUUGGAGGCUUGUGUGCGUACUCGCUGAGGACCAUAUAACUGAGGGUGGUCUAGGGCACGCUCCAUUUAUUUUAUUUAGAGUUAUUAGAUUAAUGUCGCAGUUAUUUUUAUUUAUUAAUAAUUAUGUCUUUUAAGUCCAAACUGAGCUCAAAUAUGAAAUAUUUUAUGUUUAUAAAUAAA